CCCCAGACUCCUACGGGAGGCAGCAGUGGGGGAUAUUGCACAAUGGGGGAAACCCUGAUGCAGCGACGCCGCGUGGGCGAAGAAGUAUUUCGGUAUGUAAAGCCCUAUCAGCAGGGAAGAAGAAAUGACGGUACCUGAGUAAGAAGCACCGGCUAAAUACGUGCCAGCAGCCGCGGUAAUACGUAUGGUGCAAGCGUUAUCCGGAUUUACUGGGUGUAAAGGGAGCGCAGGCGGCACGGCAAGCCUGAUGUGAAAGCCCGCGGCCCAACCGCGGGACUGCAUUGGGAACUACCGGGCUGGAGUGCCGGAGAGGUAGGCGGAAUUCCUAGUGUAGCGGUGAAAUGCGUAGAUAUUAGGAGGAACACCGGUGGCGAAGGCGGCCUGCUGGACUGCGACUGACGUUGAGGCCCGAAAGCGUGGGGAGCAAACAGGAUUAGAUACCCCCGUAAAC
rnacentral:rRNA from 1 species